AUCGCCACAUGGACUGGAAUACCACAUUCUAUUCCGUCCUCAAGCUUUCUAUUUAAAUUAAUAAACAUGAUGUCAACUGCCAAAAAUCUACUUCGUAUGUAAUCGUGUUAGCUACAUACAAGGUUUUUGCUACGACUGCAAGCGAUAUCUCAUCACGUCCUCUUUACUAAACCUGCUGGUAAGGUAAGGUAAAUAAUGGCUUUAUUCACAUCACCUUGGUACUGCUAAAGCGUUAAAUUCACUUAACAGUGCAGCAAUAUAUAAAAAUAUAUAUAACGUAUUAAAAUUUGGGCGCGACGUUGUAAAAAGUACAUUACAAAAUCUUGCAUUCAUAUAAGUAUAAAGUACAACUGCUAUAAAAAAUAAUUAUACCAAUAUGUAAUAUGUAAAUUUAUCAAUAUGGUGUCACGUGCUUCCCACUGCAAACCCAUCACACGAUACAAACACAGUUUCUUGGAUCGCCGUUGUGGCUAGUACAACGCUGUCACGAAGUACCACGACAAUGCUACGAUACGAAUACGAGAUACCAAGACAAUGCUACGACACUAAUACGACACUGUCAGGAGGUACCACGACAAUGCUACGAUACAUAUACGAGAUAUCACGACAACGCUACGACACUAAUACGACGCCGUCACGAGGUACCACGAUAAUGCUACGAUACGAAUACGAGAUACCAAGACAAUGCUACGACACUAAUACGACACUGUCAGGAGGUACCACGACAAUGCUACGAUACAAAUGCGAGAUACCACGACAACGCUACGACACUAAUAAUACGAAUACGAGAUACCACGACAAUGCUACGACAUUGCUACGACAUUAAUUAAAAAAACGUAUUACGUUUGGUAACGAUAGCAUUUCAAUCUUGGCGUUUCACGCGUAGCGUCAAGAACACGCGAUCUUUGCGAUGCCGCCAUGCCAACAGGCGAUUAUACUAUGUGAUCUGUCAUAUUAUAAUAUGCGGGAAACCGGGGGAAUUAUCCUGUUCAGUUUGCAUGGAUAGACCACAUAUUUACUAAAAUUCACGAUAAUUCGAUAAACUGUUGUCCUCGCGAGUUCUGGGAAUUCACGCGUAAAAUUUGCCUGUGGAAUUUCGGGAAGUCCUUUUCAAUUUCAGUUGAUGACACUUUUAUUUCGCGCUUCUCAACUUUGUAUCGCUCUCAUCUUACUGACCCGAACUGACGUGUUAUCGGUGUAAAAAAUGACGGAGAAAAGUCUGCCUUGUGGUCGUACUUGAUCGAAUAUAAAACGAUACAGACCAGAAAAUGUGAUGAUUUUCAAUCUUUCAAAGUCGCCAUUUCUGUUAACGUGCAAGUAAUUAAGUAUGGCCACACACGGUUGUUUCAUUUUGGAUAUUAAGAAAGUUGUUGGGGGCAAAUAUUUUUGCUCCACAAUGAAUGUGC
rnacentral:lncRNA from 1 species